UGCACCACUCUAGUCCUCCAAGCUGGUGGAGUCGCUGCUCAUUGCAGCCUCCGUGAACAUGUGCCGAUGGCUUCUGAUUUCCUCGUGUCGAGGUGGGAAUACACUCUGAAUGGGACGGCAGUCCAUCACAAGGCACCAUGCACACAUACGCAUUCACGUACUCAGGGGUGAUUUAGAGUUGCUUAUCGACUUCCUAACCUGUUUUGGGGAGGUGGGAUGAAACCGGAGAACCCUGGAGGAAACCCAGGGGGGGACAGGAGAAGACUAUAGAGAAAUAUGGGCCACUUUCCCAAAAAAGGGGAAUGCUGACUUGGCUGAUUUGAUUAACUAAUGCUCUUAUCCAGAGAACAGAUAAGGCUCAUGUGGAAUAUUAUAAAAAGGUAUGGGAUCUGACUGCAUUGGAAUUGAACUGCUUAUGAUGAACAUCAUGUACACCUCAUCCCCCACCCCCUUUAAAGUUUCCUCCUGUAACUCUUUGUAGAUAUGGGGAAUUGUUCAUGUCUGUUCUCUUUUUUUACUUUACCUUCAUGGAAAGGCAUUGAUUGAGUUUACUCUGUAAAAUGAUUAUGGGUUUUAAUCCCAGAACGACGGGAGUCCCUUUGUCCACUCAGGGUCCCUGAUGAUCCCCAACUGCGAUUAAAGUCUUCAUGAUCCAGCUUACCUUGCAGUGCAGCCGUGAUGGUAACUUGUACAGCCACCGAUCGGCGAUUGGGAGCGGACUGGCGUGAAGCUGCUGCCUGGCGCGCCGAUCUCAGCUCACUCUCUGCGAACUGCAGUUUACACAAAAGCGCCUCGACCUCCAUUUGUCUGCGCGCUAUCUCCGCGCGUAAAAGCGCCGAGUCCUUGUCUAUGAGUUUGGUCAUCUCUACCAGCGCACCCUUUGCAAACCUUUCUAGUAUGGACGCUAACUGAGAAUGGAUAUCGACAGAAGACAUUGUUCUCGGGGAUUUUCGAGGUCUGUGUCGCGCUGUUGAAGGUUUUAUGACAAAAUAAUUAUAAUAUAGUUAUUAUACCCCCUCUGUUAAAAGCGUAAUGUGUCCAAGGACUAACGAAAAUUCAAGAGCACUCGGUUAACGAAAUGUUUACAUUAGUUUAGAACCAAGCGUUCACUUCCGCGUUCAGUGACGUCACGCUACACGCCCUACAUCGACCAAUAGUGUUAUACUUCCGUGAACACUGAUGUUUUAUUGGCUACGGCCAAAAUGACACUAUACUACCAUACUAAACAGUGUGUCAGAACAGUACUCCAUCGAUAUUACAAGCUACUAUAGUUAUCAGAGGUGGCGUACUAUUUAGUAAGGUAGUAACCGCACUCAUUCUCAGAUUGGAAACUGGUUAAAAAAUACAAAUAAAAAAGCAUACAUUUCACUUUUACAAGACAAUAUGACUUUAUUAGAUGUUAUGGUAUAUUUUUACGCAAAUUGAAUAUAUUAAAGAAGCCAAUUUGUAGAGUUUAAGCAGUUAAAAGUAAGAUCCAAUCAACAAUCCAUCGCAGGGCACAGUCACACCACGGAGAAUUUGGACAUACCAAUCAGCCUACCAUGCAUGUCUUUGGACUGGGGAGGAAACCGGAGCACCCAGAGGAAACCCCCACAACACAGGGAGAACCUGCAAACUCCACACAGGACAGCAGUGGGAAUCGAACCCCCAAACCUGGUGGUGUGGAGCAUACGUGUUAACCACUAAACCACCAUGCACCCCAAGAUUCAAUCAUGUGGGACCAAUACAUGAGAUAUAAGACAGAAAUCAGUAUGUUAAUCAGAGAAACUAAACUCAAAGGAGGUCAAGUUAGUGAGAUAAUUUUGGUGAAAUUCUUCAGUCACACAUGUAUCCUUUUCGUCUAGGCUCUGUUAUUUCUCAGAAAAAUCACCCUCUGUUCUUGCGUAGAGACACUGAGUCUGUACUGUAUGUUUAAGUCUGUAUGUUUUAACUAAUCUGUUGUUAGUGAUUUCUUAAGAUGUAUUGUUGAAAUCCAUGACAUAAGUCAGUAAAAUAAAAACUUUUUUUCUUUUCUUUUUUUUUUCUUUUUUUUAAAUAAGCUGACCAAUCUUGCGCUACAAUUAUAAAUAAGAUAUGAAGAAAGAAACAUAAUUGUGGCGAGAUGUCAGAAAUGUGAUCCAAAAAAAAAAAAAAAGUGAAAACCCGUUCAUCAGGAUUAAUGGAAUCAUUGUUUUAGUAUUGUAUAAAAGCAUAAACAUCGAUUGUGCUCGUCAGAUGAUCUGCAGACAUCUCGGCUUUUGUGAUUCUUCAAUAAAAGUCAAAUUUUUUACAUCACUCUGAGAGAUUAUUAUUUUUGGCUAAGGUGAUUUUCCACCACAUUGUUAAAUGAUAAAAUAGAUUCAUCAUACAUUAUGUAAACAAGCCUGUAUAUGAAGACACGAAGUCCAUACAGUUACAAAUACAUUUUUUUAUUUAAUUUUGUGUACAUUACCAAUAUUUCUCAAAAAAAAAAUUUAAGUGUAAUAUUUUUUGUGGUUCACUGCAUUUACACACACAGUAAUGUUUUUAAACACACAUAUACAAUAAACUAUGCACAAAUGCUGAUUACUUAUGGCCAAAAUUGAAAAGUAUUUAUUUGUGCCAACAAAAAAAACACACACAGUCCUUGUGUAAUUACAGGUUAGAAUGAAAAAGAUAUGCUAAAAUCUCCAGCAAAUUCCAAAGCCUUGAAAUGAAAAUGUUUGUUUACCUUUUUUUGUUUACCUAGCCUAUGUAGAAUUUCUUGGG